UCUCUAGCUUACAGGGACUGCAGUCCUGCUUCCAAGGGCACAGCAGAAAGCCAGAGGGAUAGGCCAGCUUACCUGAGUACACCUUUGGAUGGAUGCUGGGAAGACAAUUUCAUUUCAUCUUUCCUGCCACUCUACACUGACUGACAAGGAAUUCAGCUCAAGGUCACUGUGUAACCUGCACCCAUGUCAUGUCCAAGUGCAUGGAGAUGUAGGUGGAACUGUCUGCCCUGUUGUUAUCUUCCAUGGAAAUAAUGAAGAAGAAACCAGAGGAAAACAAGAAAGUGGGAUUUAUUCCAUCACAACCAAGGGUUCUGCUCACGCUUCUACAUGUCUGCAGGUUGCAGAGACUAUGGCCCAGAGAAAUUUUAAUGUCUCUGAAAACUACAUGAAGUCCUUGUGAGGAGUAAAGCGAAGUGGCAGAUAGAGUGAUGCCUUCUGUGUUCUUGUCUGAAACAUAUCUGCACAGAGAAUUAGGACUUCUGAAGAGACACUGAACUUGAGCCCUCUUAUCAGCGAGCAU